rnacentral:snRNA from 25 species
AUACUUACCUUGUCUCGGGAACCGCGAUCAUGAAGGCGGGCUCCCAUGAGAUGGUCCCUGCAUUGCACAGCGCGGCGGACGCGUCUUGUUCAUCGGCCUUCGGGUCUUUGAGAGGCGUAAUUUUUGACUCCCUUCACUCCACAGUGUGAGUGAGAC